GGGGGUGUGAGCACAACUACUCUGUUGUCCGUUCUCCAGCUGUUCGUGCGGGUGGGCGCGUGCGGUGGGCGUGGCGCUACACACAGCCCCUCCUACAUCGCUGUGUGGGCGUGCUUUCGCCAGGCGCAUUUAGGAAUGGGUCAGAGGCACUUUUUUAGACGUCAGUUACGAAGCGGAGUUCAACCCACCUGAUGAUCUCCAGAACAAUCCGCUCAACGAGUCACAAGUGACAAUAAAAUCUACCUCGAGUCUCAAAGUUGUGUCGCUUCCAAGCCGUGUUUUAUACUGCUUCGUAACUCUUCGUGUUUUAAAAGAGAAACAUAUAGGAGAGAUUUAGGCUUGUAUAUCGACUCAAACAUUGCACUACUUUUUGUUUUUGUUGUUGUUUUUCUUCUUCUUCUUCCUAAUUGCAUUGCAUUGCACGUGAGCGUUUGAGGACUGAGGAUGCAUACCACCCAAAAGGACACGACCUACACCAAGAUAUUUGUCGGAGGUCUGCCAUAUCACACCACAGAUUCCAGUCUGAGGAAAUAUUUUGAGGUGUUUGGGGAAAUCGAGGAGGCUGUCGUGAUUACUGACAGACAGACUGGAAAGUCCAGGGGGUAUGGUUUUGUGACAAUGGCAGAUCGCUCUGCGGCAGACAGAGCUUGUAAGGACCCCAACCCUAUCAUUGAUGGCAGGAAGGCCAACGUGAACCUGGCUUACCUGGGAGCCAAGCCGCGGGUGAUGCAGCCAGGAUUCACAUUUGGUGUACCCCAGAUUCAUCCGGCUUUCAUCCAGAGACCGUAUGGGAUCCCCGCUCACUACGUAUACCCACAGGCAUUCAUGCAGCCCAGCGUGGUGAUCCCUCACGUGCAGCCGACCACUGCGUCCACCGCCGCCACCGCCUCCUCGCCCUACAUCGACUACACUGGAGCUGCAUACGCACAGUACGCCAGCGCUGCUACUGCUGCGGCUGCCGCCGCUGCAUAUGAGCAGUACCCAUACGCCGCCUCCCCCGCCGCAGCCGGCUACGUCACUACAGCUGGCUAUGGCUACGCUAUGCAGCAGCCACUGGCCGCUGCCACUCCAGGCUCUGCGGCAGCCGCCGCAGCCGCCGCAUUCGGUCAGUACCAGCCCCAGCAACUGCAGGCCGAGCGCAUGCAAUAGCAGCUUAUGGCACUGAGAUGUGAGGAAAAGCCAAUGCUCAGUGACUGCUCAUUGGCUGUACAGAGGUGUCUCACCAGAGGGAGGAUAAUGUGAUGAGGAUGACGAUUGAUGGAGGUGUUUAAGUGAGCUUUGUCAGCAGUUCCACCCCUGUCCUACGGAGCCGGGCUGGAGGUUUAAGCGCAGGCUGCGUUCCCCUGAUCCCCUUCUGACAUCACCCUCAGCACCUGCCACCGCAUCUCUCGCUCAUGAGCAGCUCCUCUCUGGAACGAACGAGUGAGAACGUGAGACAAGCAGACUUCAACAAUGAACCAAUGAACUUCCAUCAGUCAACCAAACUCUCUGUCUAGAGAAAUGUCUGUGCACCAGCAUGUCUUUCUUUCCUAGUGAGAGAUUAAUCCAUUCUCUGUUCUCUCAGAAAACCUGAUGUCACGUCUUUGUACUAAAAAGCAGCACUAAAGCUGAGGGCUCAAACACAAGUCUGAGAGUUCACAGUGCCUUACAACUGUAAUGCUAUUUAAAGAGGAAGAAAGAGAACUGAUAUUUAUUUAUUUUGAGAGUUAUGCUGUGCUCUAAGGACGGAGACUUAGUGGUGGUACUGUAUUAAUAAUAAUAAUAAUAAUAAUAAUAAUAAUAAUAAUAAUAAUGUAUUCAUCUCAUGGCAUAUUAUAAGUUAUUGAGUAGAUUUAGUUAUAGUAUCAUUAACAUACUCAACCAAAAAAAAUGUUGAUUUAUUUAAGAUAAAAUUCUGUAUGUGCACUGUACAUUUUGUUUUUCUAUGCCUUAUGAAUUUUAGAGCAUUUCAUUAAAUAUCUGCUAGGUUAAUGCCUCUUGUAAGAUGUUUAUUUAAUGCAGGCCUAUGUGCAGGCAGGAUCUCUCUCCUUUUUUUGUCAUAUCUAGAACUGUAGAAAAUAAAAAAAGAGGAAAAACUCCUUGUAAAAACUAAGCAAAAUGCUGCUUCAUACACUAGAAUGUAUAGUCCUUGUCAAGGUUCAAUAUCUGUGCUUCUACUGCUUUUAAUAUACAGUACAUCAGAUGGGCUAUUUUACACUGUUGGGAAUUUUUAUACUUGAACUUGAACAAGGGAAAAUAUGAAAAGCAAUAACAAACUUUUUAAGGAAGCAUUUCAUUGUCACUGGAUUUGGGCAUGUAAGGUGUUAUUUACUAUUUAAUGUCGAUCCAAAGGUUGUCUCAGUAAACCUAAUUUAAACCUUAUUUCAGAUUUUCAACACUAUUUACUCGAAAAAGAAAAUAAAAGGUUCUAUAUUUCAACCUUCAAACUGCUGUGUGUGUC